CAAGAUAUAAUUUAAGUAGAAUAUUAGCUUUGGGGGUUAAUUGUGAGGGUUAAAUUCUCUCUAUCUUGA
rnacentral:tRNA from 1 species